rnacentral:tRNA from 2 species
GGCUCAUUGGCUUAGUUGAUAAAGCGCUCGUCUAGCAUCCAAGAAUCGUGGGUUCAAACCCCACCUGAGCAU